GAUGAACGCUGGCGGCGUGCCUAAUACAUGCAAGUCGAGCGAACAGACGAGGAGCUUGCUCCUCUGACGUUAGCGGCGGACGGGUGAGUAACACGUGGAUAACCUACCUAUAAGACUGGGAUAACUUCGGGAAACCGGAGCUAAUACCGGAUAAUAUAUUGAACCGCAUGGUUCAAUAGUGAAAGACGGUUUUGCUGUCACUUAUAGAUGGAUCCGCGCCGCAUUAGCUAGUUGGUAAGGUAACGGCUUACCAAGGCAACGAUGCGUAGCCGACCUGAGAGGGUGAUCGGCCACACUGGAACUGAGACACGGUCCAGACUCAUACGGGAGGCAGCAGUAGGGAAUCUUCCGCAAUGGGCGAAAGCCUGACGGAGCAACGCCGCGUGAGUGAUGAAGGUCUUCGGAUCGUAGAACUCUGUUAUUAGGGAAGAACAAAUGUGUAAGUAACUAUGCACGUCUUGACGGUACCUAAUCAGAAAGCCACGGCUAACUACGUG
rnacentral:rRNA from 1 species